GAUUUCUGGCUUGAAACAUUUAGCCGGCCACGGUUUCGUGUGUUAGUGCUUGAUGUUCUGGCCAUCCUUCCAAUUGCUAUUCAUCUUUCUUCAUUGAUGGGUGAGUGGUAUUGGAUCUUUUACUUUGAAAAAAUUAGAGUGUUUCAAGCAGGCAUUUGCUAUGAAUACAUUAGCAUGGAAUAAUAAUUUAGGACUUUUGUUCUCUUUUGUUGGUUUCGCGAACGGAAGUAAUGAUUGAUAGGGAUAGUUGGGGGUGCUAGUAUUCAGUGGCCAGAGGUGAAAUUCUCGGAUUCACUGAAGACUAACUUAUGCGAAAGCAUU
rnacentral:rRNA from 1 species